GACCAAGUCUUCUGGAACGGAGCGCCAUGGAGGGUGACAGCCCCGUAGCAGCAGCCACUGUAAAUCCGGGUCGACGAGUCGAGUUGUUUGGGAAUGCAGCUCUAAGUGGGUGGUAUGCUCCAUCUAAAGCUAAAUAUUGGCGAGAGACCGAUAGCGAACAAGUACUGUGAAGGAAAGAUGAAAAGAACUUUGAAAAGAGAGUGAAAAAGUACGUGAAAUUGUUGAAAUGGAAGGCAAUGAGGUGCGAUUGAACCGGACGUUUGCGGGCAGGACAAAAGCGCAGGCCGCCUCGGCAUUGCCUGCGUGCAUACUGCCUCGCGGACUAC
rnacentral:rRNA from 1 species